AGAGUUUGAUUAUGGCUCAGGAUGAACGCUGGCGGCGUGCCUAACACAUGCAAGUCGAGCGAUUCUCUUCGGAGAAGAGCGGCGGACGGGUGAGUAACGCGUGGGUAACCUGCCUCAUACACAUGGAUAACAUACCGAAAGGUAUGCUAAUACAGGAUAACAUAAGAGAUUCACAUGGAUUUCUUAUCAAAGCUCCGGCGGUAUGAGAUGGACCCGCGUCUGAUUAGCUAGUUGGUAAGGUAACGGCUUACCAAGGCGACGAUCAGUAGCCGACCUGAGAGGGUGAUCGGCCACAUUGGAACUGAGACACGGUCCAAACUCCUACGGGAGGCAGCAGUGGGGAAUAUUGCACAAUGGGCGAAAGCCUGAUGCAAGCAACGCCGCGUGAGUGAUGAAGGCCUUCGGGUCGUAAAACUCUGUCCUCAAGGAAGAUAAUGACGGUACUUGAGGAGGAAGCCCCGGCUAACUACGUGCCAGCAGCAGC
rnacentral:rRNA from 1 species